GAGGCCAGGGGCGGAGCGGAGCGGAGCGGGGCGGAGAGGACGGCGGCCCCAGGAAAACGUCUGUUCAAAGAGGCGAACUUAUGAAUCGCGUCAGCAACAGAGUACUUGGUCUGUCCAGAUACACAAGCCUCCAUAUCUUCUGGGCUUAGCUGAGUCUGUAAGAAGAGGUGAAGCCUACUGUCUGAAAGCAAUAAAGCAUCUUGUAGGAUCCUGGGAAAAAAGAAGAAAAAAAAAAAAGUCAAAUGUUUUUGUAUAGAUGCACAUAGACACAUAUAGUCUAAAGUGUUUUACCAGAACAAAUUCUAAAUGAUGUCCUGCUUUUAAGUUUUCAGAUGAAUCCUAAAUCAGGAACAGAAGGUAAUGACCAUAUUAAAAUGAUUAGGUGCAUGUUACUUUCUUAUUACAUUAUUUGGAAUUUUAGGUGAGUAAAAACACGAAGCUAAUAGUUAGGCACAGCUGCUAUUAGAAUAACUUCAAGGACAUUUCUUCCAUUUAACCAUCUGUUAUUACCACGUAGAUCAAUUAAUGAUUUUUAGGCAGUUGGAGGCAUAUACUCUUACGAAAAUUUGGUCUCCAUUUGAGAACACGGGGUUCUUUGGUUUUUGGUUUUUUAAUAGCUAAGCUUUUCUAAAAAUUGUAAGUCGUGAAUUUCUUUGCUGGAGGAAAGAAGUGUGUACAGAGACGGGACUUCAUACACACGCAGUGUCAGGACUUUGAAAUACCUGUAAACAACAGAGCCGACGCUAGCCAAAAUCAUUCACACUUUUACAAAUAUGUGUACAUUUAAGCUAGAAAGAAAAUACUGAUACUGAACGCUGACUUAAAUUUACUUGCAAACAGUUUGCAGGGAAUCUUAAAUACUAUUUCAUUCCAGCUGUUUUUUUCAAAAGUCCGUUUUAAUCUUUCGUUUGUAUGUAUUUUAAAUUAAGUCUUCAAAUAAAUUUAACACAGAGUAUUUACUUAUAUCAAGUCCGAGUAAACAAAAUACAAUACAUUCCAGUAACACAAAGUUGUACAGAUACUUUUACAAGGACUGAGAAUUGAGGAUCAUCAUCACUAUUUUGGUUAAAAAAAAAAAGCGUAACUUUGCUACAACAUUUCUCUAAAGAAGGAAUUCUUAAUGCACAAAUCCUAGAAUGACGAACAAGAGACUCUUUUUUUCUUAUAUGUACAUGUUAUUUUACUCAUGUAAUAAAGUCAUCAGAGCCUAUGACUAUGCCAAACAGCGCUCCACAGAAAAUUAUUAAAAUAUCUUUAAACAAA